rnacentral:rRNA from 1 species
GUGCCAGCCGCCGCGGUAAUACGAAGGGGGCUAGCGUUGCUCGGAAUUACUGGGCGUAAAGGGAGCGUAGGCGGACAUUUAAGUCAGAGGUGAAAUCCCGGAGCUUAACUUCGGAACUGCCUUUGAUACUGGAUGUCUUGAGUGUGAGAGAGGUAUGUGGAACUCCGAGUGUAGAGGUGAAAUUCGUAGAUAUUCGGAAGAACACCAGUGGCGAAGGCGACAUACUGGCUCAUUACUGACGCUGAGGCUCGAAAGCGUGGGGAGCAAACAGGAUUAGAUACCCUGGUAGUCCACGCCGUAAACGAUGAUUGCUAGUUGUCGGGGAGUUUACUUCUCGGUGACGCAGCUAACGCAUUAAGCAAUCCGCCUGGGGAGUACGGUCGCAAGAUUAAA